UCUAUUCCAACAAUUUGUCUAGAUACUACACUAGAACCAUCUUUUGGGUCAUAAUUCGAUAUGUACUCCUCUAGCAUGUCUACAUCAACUGGUGAUAAAUUAUCCAACCUCUAUAAGAAUUCUCACACCUACAUAUUCCUAAAUUCCUUCUAAUGCCAUGGAGACUAACAAAUAUUCUACUAGAUUGACUUUAUAUUCACUAAAAUUAUAAUUUCUAUUGGUACUAAAUUUGUUCAAGCUUUCACAUUCUUCUAUCUAUCGUCCUUGUUUAAGUCUUUUUUUGCACAUUCAAUUGCCAUGAUACAUACUCUACAAAGCUUCAAUCAUCAAUGCUACUGUCUAGUACUCUAAAAAAUACACAAAAUUAUAAAACAAAAAAAUCAACAAAAUACAAAACCAUAGAAUGGACUUGAAUUGGUGCUCUACACCUAUUCUUUUUUUUCAGUGGUAAUAACAACAAUGUGCUAACUAUAAUAUAGUUCCUCUCUCCUCGUCUCCC
rnacentral:lncRNA from 1 species